UGCAGGAGUCAGCCCCCGUCAGGACACAGCAUGGACAUGAAGGCCCCCACUCAACUCCUAGGGCUUCUGCUACUCUGGCUCCCAGGUGCCAGAUGUGACAUCCAGAUGACCCAGUCUCCAUCCUCCCUGUCUGCAUCUGUAGGAGACACAGUUACCAUCACUUGCUGGGCCAGUCAGAGCAUUAGCAGUUGGUUAACCUGGUAUCAGCAGAAACCUGGGAAACCCCCUAAGACUCUGGUCAAUAAGGCAUCUAAUUUGGAAUCUGGGGUCCCAUCGAGGUUCAGUGGCAGUGGGUCUGGGACAGAUUUCACUCUCACCAUCAGCAGCCUCCAGGCUGAAGAUUUUGCAACUUACUACUGUCUAAUAUGAUAAUUACCCUCACACAGUG